UACGGAGGAUCCAAGCGUUAUCCGGAAUUACUGGGCGUAAAGAGUUGCGUAGGUGGCAUGGUAAGUUGGUAGUGAAAUUGUGUGGCUCAACCACGCGUCCAUUACCGAAACUGCCAAGCUAGAGGGCGAGAGAGGUAGCUGGAAUUCCUAGUGUAGGAGUGAAAUCCGUAGAUAUUAGGAGGAACACCGAUGGCGUAGGCAGGCUACUGGCUCGUCCCUGACACUAAGGCACGAAAGCGUGGGGAGCGACCGGG
rnacentral:misc_RNA from 1 species